UAAGCAUAUCAAUAAGCGGAGGAAAAGAAACCAACAGGGAUUGCCCUAGUAACGGCGAGUGAAGCGGCAACAGCUCAAAUUUGAAAUCUGGCUCUCGGGCCCGAGUUGUAAUUUGUAGAGGAUACUUUUGAUGCGGUGCCUUCCGAGUUCCCUGGAACGGGACGCCAUAGAGGGUGAGAGCCCCGUCUGGUUGGAUGCCAAAUCUCUGUAAAGUUCCUUCGACGAGUCGAGUAGUUUGGGAAUGCUGCUCUAAAUGGGAGGUAUAUGUCUUCUAAAGCUAAAUACCGGCCAGAGACCGAUAGCGCACAAGUAGAGUGAUCGAAAGAUGAAAAGCACUUUGAAAAGAGAGUUAAAAAGUACGUGAAAUUGUUGAAAGGGAAGCGUUUAUGACCAGACUUGGGCUUGGUUAAUCAUCUGGGGUUCUCCCCAGUGCACUUUUCCAGUCCAGGCCAGCAUCAGUUUUCGCCGGGGGAUAAAGACUUCGGGAAUGUGGCUCUCUUCGGGGAGUGUUAUAGCCCGUUGUGUAAUACCCUGGCGGGGACUGAGGUUCGCGCAUCUGCAAGGAUGCUGGCGUAAUGGUCAUCAACGACCCGUCUUGAAACACGGACCAAGGAGUCGUCUUCGUAUGCGAGUGUUCGGGUGUCAAACCCCUACGCGUAAUGAAAGUGAACGCAGGUGAGAGCUUCGGCGCAUCAUCGACCGAUCCUGAUGUUCUCGGAUGGAUUUGAGUAAGAGCAUACGGGGCCGGACCCGAAAGAAGGUGAACUAUGCCUGUAUAGGGUGAAGCCAGAGGAAACUCUGGUGGAGGCUCGCAGCGGUUCUGACGUGCAAAUCGAUCGUCAAAUAUGGGCAUGGGGGCGAAAGACUAAUCGAACCUUCUAGUAGCUGGUUUCCGCCGAAGU
rnacentral:rRNA from 1 species